GAGAAGAGGAGUGGCGUCAGGCUGGAAAAAGGAGACGGGCAAGGCCCUCUGGGCAAAGGGCCUGGCCCCUGACCGAAGCGGUAGCUGGCACCGACAGUGGAGGAGGCGUGGCACGGAAUGGCGUGGUAAGAGGAGUCGAGAAGAGGAGUGGCGUCAGGCUGGAAAAAGGAGACGGGCAAGGCCCUCUGGGCAAAGGGCCUGGCCCCUGACCGAAGCGGUAGCUGGCACCGACAGUGGAGGAGGCGUGGCACGGAAUGGCGUGGUAAGAGGAGUCGAGAAGAGGAGUGGCGUCAGGCUGGAAAAAGGAGACGGGCAAGGCCCUCUGGGCAAAGGGCCUGGCCCCUGACCGAAGCGGUAGCUGGCACCGACAGUGGAGGAGGCGUGGCACGGAAUGGCGUGGUAAGAGGAGUCGAGAAGAGGAGUGGCGUCAGGCUGGAAAAAGGAGACGGGCAAGGCCCUCUGGGCAAAGGGCCUGGCCCCUGACCGAAGCGGUAGCUGGCACCGACAGUGGAGGAGGCGUGGCACGGAAUGGCGUGGUAAGAGGAGUCGAGAAGAGGAGUGGCGUCAGGCUGGAAAAAGGAGACGGGCAAGGCCCUCUGGGCAAAGGGCCUGGCCCCUGAC